CGACCUACACAUGCAGUCGAGCGGAACGAGUUGUCUGAACCUUCGGGGAACGAUAACGGCGUCGAGCGGCGGACGGGUGAGUAAUGCCUAGGAAAUUGCCCUGAUGUGGGGGAUAACCAUUGGAAACGAUGGCUAAUACCGCAUAAUGCCUACGGGCCAAAGAGGGGGACCUUCGGGCCUCUCGCGUCAGGAUAUGCCUAGGUGGGAUUAGCUAGUUGGUGAGGUAAUGGCUCACCAAGGCGACGAUCCCUAGCUGGUCUGAGAGGAUGAUCAGCCACACUGGAACUGAGACACGGUCCAGACUCCUACGGGAGGCAGCAGUGGGGAAUAUUGCACAAUGGGCGCAAGCCUGAUGCAGCCAUGCCGCGUGUGUGAAGAAGGCCUUCGGGUUGUAAAGCACUUUCAGUCGUGAGGAAGGUAGUGUAGUUAAUAGCUGCAUUAUUUGACGUUAGCGACAGAAGAAGCACCGGCUAACUCCGUGCCAGCAGCCGCGGUAAUACGGAGGGUGCGAGCGUUAAUCGGAAUUACUGGGCGUAAAGCGCAUGCAGGUGGUUUGUUAAGUCAGAUGUGAAAGCCCGGGGCUCAACCUCGGAAUUGCAUUUGAAACUGGCAGACUAGAGUACUGUAGAGGGGGGUAGAAUUUCAGGUGUAGCGGUGAAAUGCGUAGAGAUCUGAAGGAAUACCGGUGGCGAAGGCGGCCCCCUGGACAGAUACUGACACUCAGAUGCGAAAGCGUGGGGAGCAAA
rnacentral:rRNA from 1 species